UGUUUAACUGCUAUUAAAGUGAUAAUAUGUGGUGGUAUAAGCUCCUAAUCGGCUGGAUAGAAGAUACAUGUAAAGAUUAUCCACUUGGAAGAAUGGCAAAAACAACAAGAGACAAUAGUUUCAUAGCUUUCUUUAUUGAGCAAAUGCUGCUGGGAAAUUCUUCACAAUGGGUAAAGUCAUGGGACUGCAAACAGUAGCACCUUGUGUAUUUCUGUCAUUGAACUGAAUUCCAUCCUAUGCAUACAAGAAUGCAUGUUUCUAUGCGUUUACAGUAAGAGAUUUUAUUAGAGUUUUUUUAAGUUGCACUCAGGUAAACAGAAGAGAUAAAAAGCAUGUUUAAGGCGAGGAGGAGAUCCGUCAGGUUAAGCUGUGAUGCCUUCAGGUACUGGCUGCUUCAGGUUGUGUGUUUCUGUCUUUAUCAUAUUUAUUUGUAGUUAGCGUUGAUUUUUUGUUUUUUGGCUCAGAUGAUAUUAUCACUCUUCAAGUAAGGCUUUUCAGUAGAAUGCACCCCCCCCCCCCAACUUUGUCUCAAACUCCAUUAUUUCCAUCCCGACCACAGUGCAUGUUAUGUUUACAUAAACCCUCUUUUUACAGAUAUGAAGGGAAAAGGACCCCCCACUCCUUCUUUGAGCUAGCAUGCAGACCCCCCACCCCCAUGAAGAGCAGAAUCACAAACUUCACUGAAGCAUCAAGCUGGUUUUAGAUCACCUCUGAGACAGAGUCAGACAAAGAGGUGCAGGAUGUCAGACACUGGAUGCUCAACACACGUAAUUCUGGAUGUUGUGUUCAUGCCAUGCUGAAUCAUGCCACUAGUACCAGAGUAAAAAAGACAAGAAAAGGGAGAGGGGGGCGUUAAGUAUUGGUUCUGGGCUCCGGCGCACUGCAGAAGAGCUGGAGUGAUUUCAAAUGGUACUGCAGCAGAAACAAGUCGUGAGAUGAGCCCAUCCCAGUACGCUCCAGUUCGCCGGAGAUCCUGCAAAAUCCACAGGUUUAAGAGAGUUUAAAGAAUGCACCGUUAGAGGCCCGUCUAAGUGCCACAGUGCAAUAGUACGUUGUGGUACAUACUGCAAAGUCAGCACGACCUUUUAUUUAGCUGGUGUAGUGCUGCCUCAACCAAAUAUUCACAAGAGCAUGGAGCUCAGACUGUUGAGGUCAGAGGAGUUAUGAUUGGAAAAAUGUGCGGUGAAAACGUUUAUUGACUUUAAAUGAAAUUAACUUUUCUAUUAAAGCCAUAGGACACCGUAAGUAAUGAUGGCAUUUUUUUAUUAUUCAUGUUGUGACACACAAUUAUGUUAUUGUAUAGAAGAACUUACCACUUACUUCCAGAUCAUUUUUUAUUAAUACAAGUUUUUUUUAAUCAAAAUGUGUGCAUAUUUAGCAAUUCAUAUAUACGAGUUUUUACACUUUAUUUCAAUCAAGUCAAAUUAUUCUUUGUGUAUUUAUGUAUAUGAAUAUUUAUUUUUUAUGUAUUUUGAUGCUUUUAAUGAUGAAAUCCACUUUAAUUUAUAACUUUUGACCUGCAUAAUCAUAUAAUCAUAUAAACUUACAUAUAUAUAGAUACACACAUUUUCUUUUAAUAUUUGCUUUUAAUUAGCAGUCUUAUGGCAUCAAAUGGCAUAUAACUCUAAAUUUCUGAUAUCUGUGAAUUGUCACUUUAAUUGGUGGGAUUGAAGGAUAUAAUAUUCUAACUGAGAACUGCAGCACUGCUUUAGAGUCCCUAUAAAUGAUGCAGCUUUUUAGUUCUAAGGUAUCAGAGCAGAGCUGGCAAAGCAUAGAUGAAAUAUAGUCCUUUUUUUUCUGUUCAUCACUUUAAAAUACCCUAAAUUAGUGACAGACAUCAGAGAGCACAUUUAAGAAGAUCAGAAGAUCUUGAGAAGUUCAGAUCCUGAUGUUAGAAAAUGUGAACUUUUAUAUUAAAUAGAAUUGUUAAAAAUAUUUUGACAUGUUUUAAGCCAACACUUUCCUUUAAAUUUGAUGAUUUUGGCUCAUAAGUGAUGAAAAAAAAAUCUGUGUCAAAACAUAAAAUUUUGUUAAAAAAAAUCAAACUGUACUUGCAAAUGUUUCCUAAUCAUUUCAAUGGUCUCUUAGUCUAGGUCAGUAUGUUGUGCAUUAAUGUGGAAGUCAGCUACACUCCAUUUUUGCGAGAGGUCCCGGGUUCAGAUCCCGGACGAGCCCCCAAUUUGUGUCAUGCCCUAUACUGUGUCUAUGGUAUCGAGGAGCAUAACAUAAGUAAGCCAAGAAAAACAUUAAAAAAAUGCCAAAAGAUUGUCUCAAAUCAAAACCCAAAUAGAUCAAAUACCCACAAAUAAAAAAAAGCAUCCUGAUGGAUGAUAGAUCCCAGACAAGCCCCAAUUUAUGUUAUCCGCCAUUUUGUUUUGUUUAUAACUUUAAAUUAAAAAGAAAUAGACAAAAGAAAGUCGGCAUGAAAAGAUCAAUUUAUUUACAAGAAAGCAAAUAACGUACAAACAAUAAUAACUAAAGAAGGUGAAGCAAAAGGCUUCAUGGUGAACCAAGGCCAAAAUAAAAAAACACCUAACUGAACCCUGGGAAGUAAGCUGUUAAAAAAGGGAAAAACAUGACAAACACCAACCUAAACAGGAGGAAACAUACACUAAAGAAAAUGGCAGUUCACCCUACGGCUUCACUUAAAAGAUAACUAAUACCAAACUAAAGACUUACAGAGUGGAACCUCAAUACCAAACCACAAAUAAACUACAAAGAAACUACAAAGUCCACCACAAGCAAUAAGCUGCAAUGGAGACUGGUUGCAGCAAAGCUCUCUUCUAGCAGGCUGGAGGUCCACAUGGUGCUUCUGAAGGCUGCUCCACCUGCUCCGGUUCAAUGGGAGCCACAGACGUCCAGCACCACACCUGAAAUGAAUCAACAAAGACAGACAUCCAAAGAUCCACAAACACAGGAGUCCCACUCUGACUGAAAGAAAUUACACAAAACAAAAAGAAAAAAACCAAAACCAAACACGGCCACAGCUGUAACACCGGACAGAGGUCCAGAAACUGUCAUUGACACCCUUCACAUGGAGGACAUUAUUAAACAAGCUGGUUGUUCACUGAGUGCUGCAUCCAAGGUUAUUAAUAGGGAUGUCCCGAUCAGGUUUCUUUGGGCCAGAUCCGAUUCCG